rnacentral:rRNA from 1 species
CAACGUAUGCAACCUACCUGUAACAGGAGUAUAGCUCGGGGAAACUCGAAUUAACCCUCCAUAAGAUCGUGAAGUGGCAUCACUUAGCGCUUAAAACUGAGGUGGUUACAGAUGGGCAUGCGUCUGAUUAGUUAGUUGGCGGGGUAAUGGCCCACCAAGACGAUGAUCAGUAGGGGAACUGAGAGGUUGAUCCCCCACACUGGCACUGAGAUACGGGCCAG